rnacentral:rRNA from 1 species
CUAACAAGGAUUCCCUUAGUAACUGCGAGUGAACCGGGAUGAGCUCAAAUUUAAAAUCUGGCGGUUCUGCCGUCCGAGUUGUAAUCUGGAGAAGCGUUUUCCGCGUCAGACCGUGUACAAGUCUCUUGGAAUAGAGCGUCAUAGAGGGUGAGAAUCCCGUCCAUGACACGGACUCCUGAUGCUUUGUGAUACGCUCUCAAAGAGUCGAGUUGUUUGGGAAUGCAGCUCAAAAUGGGUGGUAAAUUCCAUCUAAAGCUAAAUAUUGGCGAGAGACCGAUAGCGAACAAGUACCGUGAGGGAAAGAUGAAAAGCACUUUGGAAAGAGAGUUAAACAGUACGUGAAAUUGUUGAAAGGGAAACGCUUGAAGUCAGUCGCGUCGUACGGAGCUCAGCCUGGCUUCUGCCAGGUGUAUUCUCCGUGUCGACGGGUCAACAUCAGUUUUGACCGGUGGAAAAGGGCUCAGGGAAUGUGGCGUCGUUUCGGCGACGUGUUAUAGCCCUGGGUCGUAUGCAUCGGUUGGGAUUGAGGACCGCAGCACGCCCUUGUGGCCGAGGGUUCGCCCUACGUUCGUGCUUAGGAUGUUGGCAUAAUGGCUUUAAGCGACCCGUCUUGAAACACGGACCAAGGAGUCUAACAUGCCUGCGAGUGUUCGGGUGGAAAACCCUUGCGCGUAAUGAAAGUGAAAGUUGGGAUCCCUCGCAAGGGGGUGCACCGACGCCCGGCCCUGACGUUCUCUGACGGUGCUGCGGUAGAGCAUGUAUGUUGGGACCCGAAAGAUGGUGAACUAUGCCUGAAUAGGGUGAAGCCAGAGGAAACUCUGGUGGAGGCUCGUAGCGAUUCUGACGUGCAAAUCGAUCGUCAAAUUUGGG